rnacentral:lncRNA from 1 species
CGCCUCCCUCCGGCGGCGCGCCCUGCACCUGCCGCCCGCCGGAGCGCGCCCUGCGCCGCUGCGAGGCCCGGGGUGAGGGCGGCGGGUCCCGACGGCGGCGGCUCCUCCAGCAGCCCGAGGCGGCGGCUCCGGCAACCCGAGGCAGCGCCUCUCUCCGGCUGCGCCCGUCCCUGCUGGCGCCGCCGCUGCUCACUGACAGCCGCGGCGCCCGCUCUCCGCACUCGCCGGCCCCCUCCGGAACCUACCAACUCCGCCCUCCCCCCGCGCCUCCCUGUCCCGAGGCGUCCCGCCGCUAUCUCCCUGUCCCCCGGGCUGAGGCUUGUCGGGUCACCGCGCCUAACCGGGCAGCGGCACUAUGGCGGUGUGUGUCCGGCCUCUGGAGCGAGAGAAGGGCUUCCGAUGCGCCCCCCACCCCGUGACGCCGGGGGAAUGGAACGCGCCGAGCCCUGGGCCGCUGCCCGGCGAUGGGGGCGGGCGGGGGAAGCCCCAGGCAAGGAACAUAAUCUUUACUGGGCUUUGAGAUUAAAUCAUUCUGGGGAUGGGGAUGCUGUCACCGAAGAAGCACCUGCUAUAAACUACAUUUGACAG